rnacentral:rRNA from 1 species
UGGGGAAUAUUGGACAAUGGGGGCAACCCUGAUCCAGCGAUGCCGCGUGAGUGAAGAAGGCCUUAGGGUCGUAAAGCUCUUUAGGUUGGGAAGAAGGAGAUAAGGUUAAUACCCUUGUUUUUUGACGGUACCGACAGAAUAAGCACCGGCAAACUCUGUGCCAGCAGCCGCGGUAAUACAGAGGGUGCGAGCGUUAAUCGGAAUUACUGGGUGUAAAGGGCGCGUAGGCGGCAAGAUGUGUGUGAUGUGAAAGCCCCGGGCUCAACCUGGGAAGUGCAUUGCAAACUGUCUGGCUAGAGUAUAUGAGAGGGUGGCGGAAUUUCCGGUGUAGCGGUGAAAUGCGUAGAGAUCGGAAGGAACGUCAAUGGCGAAGGCAGCCACCUGGCAUAAUACUGACGCUGAGGCGCGAAAGCGUGGGGAGCGAACA